UGGGGAAUAUUGCACAAUGGGGGAAACCCUGAUGCAGCAACGCCGUGUGAGUGAUGAAGGUUUUCGGAUCGUAAAGCUCUGUCUUUGGGGAAGAUAAUGACGGUACCCAAGGAGGAAGCCACGGCUAACUACGUGCCAGCAGCCGCGGUAAUACGUAGGUAGCAAGCGUUAUCCGGAUUUACUGGGCGUAAAGGGAGCGUAGGCGGAUUUUUAAGUGAGAUGUGAAAUACCCGGGCUCAACUUGGGUGCUGCAUUUCAAACUGGAAGUCUAGAGUGCAGGAGAGGAGAGUGGAAUUCCUAGUGUAGCGGUGAAAUGCGUAGAGAUUAGGAAGAACACCAGUGGCGAAGGCGACUCUCUGGACUGUAACUGACGCUGAGGCUCGAAAGCGUGGGGAGCAAACAGG
rnacentral:rRNA from 1 species